UCUUCUUAAGGUAAUAUUUGUAUAAAUAAAAAAAUAAAAAAACCAACACCUUAUCCCCUUCCUCCAGAUACCUUAGCAUCCUCAUCUCCUCCCUUACUUCAAUCUUAUCUUUCCCCAACCCCCAUAGCCUUCCCGCGACCUCCUAUAUUCACAGGUCCUCCACUCCUCCCUUCCAUCCAUAUCCCCUUCUUCCCUAGCCCCUACAACCAUCCCACCACCUUCUGAAUUCGCAGAUUCACAUGCAUCCUCAUUUGUCUUUCUCGUUCUUCAAUUUUGUAAGCGACGAGGAAAACUGGGGUUCAAGUGUGGCCGGAGCCGACGCUCCUCCUAGGAAAAUUGGUGGGGAAAUUUGGAAAGGAUAAUUUAUUAUGAAUCCUUCGACAAAUCAACAAGUUGAUUUAAGAAUUAGAAGCUGCAGUAAAGCAACCAUAUCAGUGUUUAUUCGGCACUUUGCAUAAGCAGAUGGAGGAGGGUUAAUAGCUAAUACACAUAUGGCCAAGAGAAAGCAAUGGUAGUGUCAACCAAAGUUACUCAUCAAGAUCUUAUACAUGGUAUAUAUAAACAUCUUCGUAUUAGUCUGAGUGAAUUUAGAAUCUCAGUACAUUAUCAAUGCAUGAGCAACUUAGGGAUGCAAAAUAUGAUGGAGAUUGUAGACAAUGACGAUGUGACUAGUUGGGUAUGUGAAAGUCUUUCUGCAAAACCGAACAAAAUUUCAUUAUAUGUUACAACAUAUCCUCUAAAUGAACCUGAAGAUGAACACCCAAUUGCAUGUAGUUCCCUAUCACCAACAGUGGCAAUUCAAGAAAAUGAUGGCAUUUUGGGUGAUGAACAACCAAGUCAAGUUCUUCAAGAUAAUGCCCAGAUUAGUGAGACUUCAAUAGAUGUGAGUUUUGAGUUUACUAAUGACUAUCAUGGCAAUACCCAUUUUGAUAAUGUGAAGUCUAACGAUGCCAAUUUCAAUCUAUCGUCGUCUCAUCGUAACAAACGUAAGAGCAUAUAAGACUAUGAUAAUAUUGCAGAUUUGAAUAUAGAUGGAGAUAUUAUGGUCGCAUAAUUGUACUCGAGUAAGAAAGAUUUGCAAAAACAAUUAGCUAUGAUUGCAAUAAGGGGUGCAUUUUUGCUCACCCACAUUAACCUUGGUGUAUGCUCACCAUACACUUAUAAGUUUGACAUCUG